CAGUAGCCGCGGUAAUACGCAGGUGGCAAGCGUUGUCCGGAAUUAUUGGGCGUAAAGGGCUCGCAGGCGGUUUCUUAAGUCUGAUGUGAAAGCCCCCGGCUCAACCGGGGAGGGUCAUUGGAAACUGGGAAACUUGAGUGCAGAAGAGGAGAGUGGAAUUCCACGUGUAGCGGUGAAAUGCGUAGAGAUGUGGAGGAACACCAGUGGCGAAGGCGACUCUCUGGUCUGUAACUGACGCUGAGGAGCGAAAGCGUGGGGAGCGAACAGGAUUAGAUACCCGCGUAGUCCCUGUCUCUUAUAC
rnacentral:rRNA from 1 species